GCAGCUCUUCCCGGUAUACAGUCUAUUGUAGGAAGCAAUUUCUACUUCCCUUUAAUCUCUCAACCGAUCUAACAGAUGAAGAGAGUACCCUCGGAUGAUCAUCUGACGAUCUGAGCAAUCGAGAGAGAGUCCGCAUCUGGUUCAGCAAGUAGCCUACGUCUAGGGGUUAAUUGCUUUAUUGUCAUCACCAGUCAAACACAUCCAUUCAAGAACUUACAGUUGGAGGCGAACACCAUUGCUCUUCGUUUCACCUCUCUGAUUUUAUUCAAUCAGUUCGAUUGUUGCUGAGAGUUUUGGAAAGCUAGAAAGGUUUUAUUUGGAUUACUUCAUUCAAAGGCUGUGCGUGACAACAUCCAUAACAACAAGCUGAAUCCCAUUGGCAUCAUCCAAUCGUUGUGACAUCAUUCUCAUCUGGUUACCAUGGCAAACUGCGGCUGGUUAUGGAGCAUUAUUUGGAUCAUCCUCCUCCUCGUGAUUGGCUGGCCGAUCGGUCUCCUGUGCGGCAUCCUUUACGCCAUCUUCUGCGCGUUCCCACCCUGCUGCCCCGGUUGUAACGAUCUGGUGAACUUUAUACAUCGAGGGUUGGACCUUCCCCGUACCUGCGCUACCAACAUGGUUGCCCAGCGCUCUGGCUGUUGAAUAGGGGUGUAGGAUAGGGGCGUGGUGGGGGUGCAUGAUGUACUUGUAGUCUGUUUAGUACAAUGGAAAGUGAUUGGAUUAACAGAAUGCUGAGCUGGUAUCUCUACAAUCUUCUAUUUCUGGCGAUCAAGGAGGUUCCAGCACCAUGUAGAAACGGAUUUACCGUCUAAACGUUCGUGAUUUAGACUUUUUGAUUGAGGGUAUUCAGAGGGUUGCAAUCUUCCAAUGUGAACCAAUAAUUUGCCAACACUUUCAGAUUUCAUAUGAGCCAUCAAUAAGUUGUGUAUCCUAUACACACCUUCACCAUUGAAAUCAGAAUGCCCGUUUCGUUACAUGAUUUUUUAAAGAUAUACAUGUUGUUUUCAUCGCUAUUUAUUUGCCCGCUCAAACGAUGAUCCUUAUCAAUUCAAACCCGUAUAUUUGUUAAAACGAAAGCAAACGCAAGGAAACAAACGAUUAUCAGUGUUAUAUUCAGCUGAGGACGGGGAUGUAUAUACGGUCUGUGUUUGAUUAGAAAACAGUAGAUAGUUCAUUAAGCUGCCUAUGUGAUAUAUGUAUCCUAAGUGUAUAAUACAGGUAUAUUAUUAUUAAUAGAUAUGUUUUCAAAGAGGCUCAUAAAUGUACCAUUUUCAAAGAGUGCAGUCAAAAGAUGUCAACUUUUUUGUCUGCCUUUCUAUAAUUAUAUUCACAUACCUAUAAAACAUUAUAGCCACAGCAUAAUGUACAUAUGAUUUCCCUUAAUUUGAUACUGUUUAAUUCAAUAUAGUAUAUUUAUUUGUUUUCUAUUCUUCCAUCUCAACAUUAACUCUUUUUAUAUCAUAGAUGUUCAUUGUUAUAAAUAUAUUUAUGCAUCUUGUAACAAUCAUUAUCUUUUAUAUGAAUAAUUUUUCAAAAGGUUCGCAAAAAUAUUUCUUUCAAGUGCUAUGUUCGGUUAGGAUCUUAAUGGGCCGAAGAGAACCUUGAAAUGAUAUUCUUCCAAUUUUAUAUGUUAUUGAAUUGAAAUGGAAGUAGUUAGCGUCAUCUAUAAGAAAAGAAUUACAUGACACUAUGGAAAGAGGUAGAUUAUUAGGGGGAAAUCCAUGACAUAAAUUCUGACUCUAUAAAGUUAACAAUGAUUCAUUAAAGAAAUAAAUAGCCUUCAAGCUUCUUUCUUGUUGUGUAUUUUCACAAGAUCAAAGAAUGAUAGACUUUCAUGAUAUGGUGGUCUCUAUACUAUUUUGAAGAAUAUCUGUGGCUUCCUAAAUGAAAUAGAAUUAUAACUAAGUAUUCAACGAAUACAGUAUUUUAACAUCAUCUUUUUUUUUCGGGGGAGGGGGGCAUAGACACAUACAAAUUUUUUGAAGAAACUCAAAAGCGAGGAAGCAAAGCGACCAAGCUUGUCAAGGGGGCACUUUGCAUAAAAAUGUUCUAAAGUGAAAUUGAAGGAUUGUAUGGAGUCACACUUGGUGAAUUUUGUGAAAAAUAAAUCAGUAAAGAAAAUGUAUUUUUUCAAAAUUUCUACAUAAUGCCAUGAACCAGUGAAACAGGCUGUCUGGAUUAAUUAGCAGCUAUUGCUAUUUUGUGGUCCCCUUUUAUCACAAAUAUCAUUUUCAACUUUACUUUCAACUUUAACUUGAUGUACUACUAUUGCAAUGGCUAGGAUUAAGCUAUUAUCUUACAAGACAUGAUACCCAGAUACAGUAGGAGUUAAUACAUCCUGACAGACAGCCAGGCAAGCCAUUCCAAUAAUUGCUUCUUCCUCCCUCCUAUCCUCUGGGACGCUGCAGGUCAUUUACACAAAUACAGAAGUUGGUGGAUCCAGUGGGGGAAGGGGGGAGGGAGCAUUCCCCCUUCUAUAUUUAAAUAUUCAUCCAUUUAACAUACAUUUUGAUAAAGCUAUCUCUAUAAAGAAAAAAAAGCUUUAAGUAUAAAGAAAAGAUCUAUAAAGAAAAAAAAUUAUCUGUCAUGAUCUGUGCCCCCUCUUUUUUUAAAUUCAAAUUUGCUCUUCAAACCCCCUCUAUUUCAAACUCCUUGAUCUGCCACUGUAGACAAAGUCUGCAUGUAAGAUCUAUAGGGUGAAAUGAUGAAGGAAAAUGUGUAGAUUCAACAUGAUUUAGGGAAAUACAAAAUUUGUUCUCAUAUAUUGAUCAAGUGAAACUAGGGGCUCUAGUAGUUUCAACUGCAAAUAUGUUUGUUUAUAAUAGUGAGAGGGCAUUUAUACUCCAAACAAUGAGCUACAGUUAUGCCUUGUCAUAUUAAAUUUGAAAUGGAAGCAAUCCAACCAAACUUCCCAUCAAUGUACCUCUGAUGUUUCCUUUAUAUAAAAAAACAAAACAAUCGGCUUCAAGCAUGCUUUACUAAUAAAAGCAGUCUGUUUCACCAAAUCAGACAGAUGUUCUGAAAUCAAUUCCUCCAUCUCUUUCCGCCGUUUCUCAAAGCAAACUUCCUGUCUGGGUGACCUCCAUAGGGGUGUACUCAUGUCUUUGAAAUCCUAUUGACAUUGAAUACAUUUAUUUCCUUCACUGAAUAACAAGGCUGGACAGAGGAAAGCUGUCUGGGAGUGGUUGCUUUCCGCUACUUCAUAUCCACUUCAUUCAUUGAGUCAUUCAAUGUUGUUUUAGGAUCACAUUAUGUUCAUGAAAUUAGCAUAUAAAAAUUCUUCCAGCAGAAAAUCUAAACACUAGGAAAUUCUGAACCCUAAAGGAAAUGCUUGUACCAACAUUUAGGGGUGUAAUAUUGCACCCCUCGUGGCAAAAGGUGCAAAAUGACCUUUUUAUCAUUAUUUGAACCAAGAAAUGCUUGUUUCAGCCUAUUGAGUGCAAAUUUGAAGAUUUUGAACCUUUUAAGGUGCAUACUACUUGACAUUAAAAAAGGUUCAGAUUUGAACUUUUAUCACAUGGUUCAUUUCUGCACCCUAUAGGGUGCUUAAUUAAAGCUAAUUGCACCCUUAAAGGUGCAAAAAUGAGCAUAACUGCACCCAUUAGCACCCCCUGGUGUGUUGCUAAUGUACCAAACCCCAGGGUUCAAAUUUGAACCCCCUAUUUCUUAGUGUUUAUGAAUUAUAGUUCAUUUCAUUGAGCAAUUCAUUUGUUUUAGGAGGAUAUUGUGCUCUCAAAAUUAGCAUAAGAUUUCAUGAUUCCUCCUAGAGUAAAUCAACUACGCAUUUUCUUGUAUAUUUUUCAUGUGCUUAUAUGUGCAUCACUUUUGUUUAUUGUGAUACCUUCAGGCGUUUUCAAUUAAACAUUUGACAUUUUGAGAAAAAACUUUGUCAUGUCAGUCUCAAUUGAUUGAAAGGAAAAUGAUAAUUAUUUGUUAAUUCAAUUAGUAGGUUAUUUUUUGUUAUUUGUAUUCAUUUAGACUAUAAUCAUCAGCUAAUUCAUAUACUUCAGAAAGAUAAUAGUAAUAAGCAAAAUAAAAACUCUGCUACUUGUUUACAAUGAAAGGCCAGUGUUUUAUGCCAUCAGUACUGCGUUAAGUUUUUAGACAACUCUCAAGACUUCUAAUAUUAUAUUUGAAAUCAGAAAUUGUAUUAUAAAAUCACACUACACAUGAAAUCGAAAUAAUGCAUACUCAAAUUACAGUUCUUGUUGCAUUUUUUUUUCAUCUAGCUUCAUCCAGAAAUUUUGCUGUCAAUCAAAAUACCAGUGACAAUAGAAGUUUCAUGAUUGCAAAAUCCAUUUGCAUGUUUACAAUAAUUUUGUAUCUGAUCAUUUCAUCUUAGUGCCUCACAAUCUUCUUUCUUUACCUGAUCUUUCAAUCGAAACAACCAUUUGGGGGAUCGAAUCUUGAAAUGUAUAUAUAUAUAUAUAUAUCACAUUGAAACUGUGAUCAGAAGAGAGACUUUCAGUCAGGUGGUAUCGAGCAGUGAGAUCAUAAUAGAAGAAUUUUCUAGAAUAAAAUAUAUCAGAGUUUAAAUUGUAAAAUAGAAUAAGAAGAAGGCAGUUUAUAAAAGAAAAUGGCUAAAUUAUAUAUGAUUGAGUAGAUUACUAUUAGUAGCUUCAUUCUAAGAAUUCACCAUAUCUAGGUCAACUGUCAUAUCAUAUCAAGUUCCUUGAUAUGAUUUACUGGUACUAAACAUGAUUUGUUCACAGUCCACAUAGGGAUUAUGAUUAUGAUUGUGUAUUUAUCAACAAAAUGAGGUCAGUUUCACAAGGGAAUGUGGAGUGUUUUAGAUAAGACUAAUUUGAUUUACCACUUGGCAUCUCUCGUUUUAGAUUCAUAUGGAUUCCAGUCAAUAUAUAUGCCAGAGUACAUACCGUAGAUGAUCUGCAUUUAAACACUUUAGCAGAGAAAGAGUGAUAACUCAUCUGUAUAAAUGAAUCAAGGAAAAUUGAAUAAGCUUUGUUUCCAAAGGUGGGAGAGAAAUAUUUUCUUCAUAAAUCAGACAUAAAAAUGAGAUUCAAUUUCAACUUAUUUUGUUUGUUGAGAUUUGUGACAAAUAAAUUAAAAUUGGUUGGUUAUUGGUCAAAGAAACACAAUAAGGCUGUUUGAAUUUAAGUAUUUUGCAUGAUAUCUACAUUAAAAGUAUUUUCUAUUUGUAUUUCAAAUAUUUACAUUUUAUCAUUUGCAAAUAUAGUCUGUUACUUUAAAUGAUCCAGUCAUAUACCAUAAUGAAAAGGUUUUUGUCAUUUGUAUUGUCAAAAAAUAAAUGAUUUGUUGUAAUCAAUGUCUUCAUAAUUAAAAGUUAUUACAAAUGAUUCGUUUUAGUAGUCAAUAAUGAAUUAAUUGAAUUGUCAUUGAUUUGAAACAAAUACGUACAAAAAGAUGAUUGUGUUUAAUACUGUAAUACCAUGCAUUUAUGCAUGUUUCAUUUAGACGUGCAUGCAGUAUGUGUAGUGUAUCAUAAUUGCUGAUUAAUUUCUUGAAUCGUUCAGGUAAAGGUUAAUUUGUGGGUUAACUUGAAAAGAUUAGAGGAGAAAAAUUAUCAAUAACAAUAUUGAUCAUCUUCAAAAGGUGUUAGAAAUGUCAUUGGAGAUAAAAACAAGACAAGAUACUGUACCAUGAUAUGUAUGCCCAUAUAAGGUAUUCCAAUCCCCUCAUUAUCUUUCUCUUCACCAUGUCCUGUUUGCUUGUUAGUGUUGUGUAGUCUUGAAGCCACAGACCCUGUUUGUUAUCUUGUUACAUCGGCCCUUUUGUUUUCUUACAACCAGGAAUGCAGCCUGGUUGUAUUUUGAGUGUUGCAUGAAAGGUAAUAGUUUAGUUAAAGUGAGGCUGUAAACCAAAACCUUUUUGUACUCUUUAUUUUGAUGCGAAGCAUGUCACAAAGCCUGAGAGGAAAAGAACAUAUGUGUUGUAUUAAAAACUUUUAUAUUUUUAUUACAAUAUUAGAAAAUCAAAUAAACAGAACGUUGUCAUUUGUAACAUAAAUGUUUCCGCAUGUAUCAAAAUUAAAUAUAUAAAAUGCUUUUUGCAGCUGUUGAAAUGAUAGUCAA